rnacentral:rRNA from 1 species
GAUGAACGCUGGCGGCGUGCCUAAUACAUGCAAGUCGAGCGAACAGACGAGGAGCUUGCUCCUCUGACGUUAGCGGCGGACGGGUGAGUAACACGUGGAUAACCUACCUAUAAGACUGGGAUAACUUCGGGAAACCGGAGCUAAUACCGGAUAAUAUAUUGAAACGCAAGGUUCAAUAGUGAAAGACGGUUUUGCUGUCACUUAUAGAUGGAUCCGCGCCGCAUUAGCUAGUUGGUAAGGUAACGGCUUACCAAGGCAACGAUGCGUAGCCGACCUGAGAGGGUGAUCGGCCACACUGGAACUGAGACACGCUCCAGCCUCCUACGGGAGGCAGCAGUAGGGAAUCUUCCGCAAUGGGCGAAAGCCUGACGGAGCAACGCCGCGUGAGUGAUGAAGGUCUUCGGAUCGUAAAACUCUGUUAUUAGGGAAGAACAAAUGUGUAAGUAACUAUGCACGUCUUGACGGUACCUAAUCAGAAAGCCACGGCUAACUACGUG